AUACGGAGGGUGCAAACGUUGUUCGGAAUCACUGGGCGUAAAGGGCGCGCAGGCGGUUUGAUUAGUCAGAUGUGAAAGCCCACGGCUUAACCGUGGAAGUGCAUUUGAAACUGUCAGACUUGAGUACCAGAGGGGGUAGUGGAAUUCCCGGUGUAGAGGUGAAAUUCGUAGAUAUCGGGAGGAAUACCGGUGGCGAAGGCGACUACCUGGCUGGAUACUGACGCUGAGGCGCGAAAGCGUGGGGAGCAAACAAGAUUAGAAACCCUAGUAGUC
rnacentral:rRNA from 1 species